GUCAUGAAGAAGUGCAUACGUCACUGAGGAUCCCUUAUGGUCAGUGUCACUGUUAUGGUUUGAAUGUAAAAUAUCCCCUCAGGCUCAAUUGUUUUGAAAGCUUGGCCCUGAGUUUGAAGGCAGUGGAGUCAUUAGAAAGUUGAUCCAGGCUGUAGAAAUGAGUCACUAAGGGCAGACCUUUGUACGUGAAGCCUGGUCACAGUUCUGGUUUGGCUUUUUUUCUGGAACACUGCCACAUGAGGUAUUUAUCCAGUAUUUUCGCGCCACUGUGCAUGUCACCACAGAUAACUGCUAUGUGACCAUGCCUUCCUCAUUAUGAGAAACUGAAAGCCCUCAGAACCAAAUAUAUUCUUCCCCCAAUAAGUUGCUUUUGUUAAACAUUUUGUCUCAGAGAUGAAAAGAAAUGAGCACAGUCACCCCCAGCCUCGGCACCUGGCAGAGAGCCUAACAUAUAGCAGGUGUUUGAUACUGAUGUUAAGAUGAAUGAAAACCAACAGAAGACUCCACCGGGCCUGUUUCCUUACUUUGAGCUUCUCUUCAGCCCCUACAGCCUCACCUCACCCAGAUGUUUCCCAUUCAUAGCUUCUUCGUUGGCCUUUUCUGAUCUGGGAUCCUCCCUCACUGGCUCUACUAUCCAGGACAUCCUUCUCCCUUGUAGAGUUUUCAGGAUGAAGAGGAGCUCUCACGUCAGUGUCAAGUGUCAGCUGACAACCAGUCAUCUUCAUGUGCAAUCAGCCAUGCUGAAGUGAAGGUCACAGGAUCAGAAUUUGACUGUCAGUAACUAGGGAAGACAAUCUGAAGACCGUCUUUGCCACUGUGAACAGCAUGUUUUACAAAAGAAAACUCUUCUGUCUGCAGGGUAAGCAUCUUAGGGAAGCAGAGGCUAGCCUUGGUGGCUUUCACAUAGUGGCCAGAGCUCUUACCGGCACCACCGUCCCCUACCUUCAUCACUGCCCAAGUCCUCCCACCAGCUCUGCUGUCCAGAGCACUUGGCCAGCUCAACAGCUAAACAGGGCUCUUGGGGUUAUUGUUCCAGGAACCAAGCUUGUUUUUUGCACGGCUCUCGUUGCAUAAGCUUUAUACUUGUGAACGGCCUGCUCCAGCCUUAUUUUUGCUCAUUUACAGAGCAUUGAAACACUUGGCUUUCUUUUUUUUAAAGAAGUCUUUAAGCAGAGAUAGUUGAAUAAUCAUUUUUAAGAUUUGAAGAUAUAUUGUACUGCACCUACAUUGUCUCUUAUUAUUUAGUCUUAAUGCUGCAAAGGAAACCUAGGCACUCAUUUGUUUGGAGAUCAGGGCUCUGAUAACCUUUCACCACGGGCAGCAUUGAACCAUGAGUACAUCUUUUAUAGGAAAAAUUGAUGACCCCAUAUAGACUUCAGAUGCUCAGCUACACAUUUUUGUUACUGGGCUUUUCAUCACUGUAACUUAUGCCUGAGGCUCUCAGCUUAUGAAGACAUCAGGCUGUUUUGGUUCCCAGUCUUGGCUAUUUCAGUCCAUCAAGUGGUCAGCCAGCCCCACCGGGCCUGUGGCAAAGCAGAGAGAUUAUCACAGUGGUGGGAGAUGUGGUAGACCCUGUAGCCAGAAAGAGAAUAAACAAUCAGGUUCUCAUAAUCCACUUUAGGAUACCACCCAAUAACCUAGCUUCUUCAGGGUCUACCUCUGAAGGUUAACUCCCUCCCGAUCCCUUGCAUUAAACAUACAGGCUUUCAACAGACAUAAAUGAUAGUGAUGUUGAUACUCUGCCGUUUUGUUCUUAUGGCCUGUCUGUUCAGCCCCUAGCUCUUUCUGUGCCCCUGUGACUGCUUCUCAGCGUGACACAUCACGCCAAGAAAGAAAAAGUUAUAUUCCUUGAUUAGGAAUUGAUGAUAGAAUAUUAUACCAUGACUUUUGAAAACUGACUUAGAUGCUCACUUGUUCUGAGAAUUCACACAUAAAAUCUACCUUACCUUAGACUUUAUUCUGCUCAAAUGGUGACAUAUAAGAAACAAAAUAAAACAACAACAUAAAAAAUACCCCAGUUGGCAUUUGUGUAGAAGAUUAUUAUGAAAUAAGGACAUUAUUUUGAAAUUUUAGAAUAUUAUUAUUUAAUACAGAUUGAACAAAUCCUUGUUACAGCAGCUAUUAUACACUGUGUUCUCUCUCCACACACUCAUUUCACAGAUAAAUUCUGAAUAUAUUUUAUGAUAUAUAUGACAAAUAAGAGUAAAAACUGAUUAGCUAAUGUUGUAAAAAUGCUAUGUGCCAAAUAAUUGUCCGAGUGUUUCAGCAGUAUUCGCUCCUUAGCUCUCAAAUCUUCUCUGGGAAGAUUGGUAAUCUUGCUGUGUUCAUUUUAAAGAAGUACCGUUAUUAACUACCACUGUGUGUGGCCACACGAGUGGAGGUCAGAGGACAAUGCUUCGGGCUGUUCUCCUUUACCAGGGGAGGCACUGGGCUUCUGCCACAAGCACUUAACACACUGAGCCAUCUUGCCAGCUCAAUUUUUUUAAUAACUCUUCUUAGUGCAUGGCUGUGUUUGUAGUAUGCCUGUGUGUUUGUGUGCCCAUAUGUGUGUGGGUGCAUGUGUGUGCACAUGUAGGCCAGUGGCAGACCUUGGGUGUCUUCCCUGAUCCUCUCCAUUCUGUUAAGUGAGGCAGGGUCUCUCACUUGAACUCAAAGCUUGCCUCUCUGGCUAGUCUAGGUAUCCAGCCUGGUCCUUCCGGGACAGUCUAGCUCUGCCUCUCCAGCACUGAGAUCGCAGGCAGCCCCAACAGUUGACCUGUGCUUACAUGUGUCCUAGGGAUCUGAACUCUGGUUUUCACACUUGUUUGGCAAGUAUUUUACCCAUUAAGCC
rnacentral:lncRNA from 14 species